CCUACGGGUGGCUGCAGUGAGGAAUAUUGGUCAAUGGGCGUAAGCCUGAACCAGCCAUCCCGCGUGAAGGAAGAAGGCGCUAUGCGUCGUAAACUUCUUUUCCAGAGGAAUAAAAUUUCGUACGUGUACGGAACUGAAGGUACUUUGGGAAUAAGCAUCGGCUAACUCCGUGCCAGCAGCCGCGGUAAUACGGAGGAUGCGAGCGUUAUCCGGAUUUAAGGGGUCGUAAGGGUGCUAAGAAGUCAGUAUAGAAAACCUUCAGCUUAACUGGAGAACUGCCAUUGAUACUGUUAGUCUUGAGUACGGUCAAGGUAGGCGGAAUGUGUAAUGUAGCGGUGAAAUGCUUAGAUAUUACACAGAACACCGAUUGCGAAGGCAGCUUACUGGGCCAUUACUGACGCUGAUGCACGAAAGCGUGGGGAGCGAACAGGAUUAGAUACCCCAGUAGUC
rnacentral:rRNA from 1 species